UACGUAGGGGGCUAGCGUUGUCCGGAAUUAUUGGGCGUAAAGAGCGUGUAGGCGGCCGAGUAAGUCCGACGUGAAAUCUGGAGGCUCAACCUCCAGCGGUCGUUGGAAACUACUCGGCUAGAGUCCGGAAGAGGAGAGUGGAAUUCCUGGUGUAGCGGUGAAAUGCGCAGAUAUCAGGAGGAACACCAAUUGCGAAGGCAGCUCGCUGGGACGUAACUGACGCUGAGACGCGAAAGCGUGGGGAGCAAACAGG
rnacentral:rRNA from 1 species